rnacentral:lncRNA from 1 species
GUGACUUCUUCUUUGUGGAUUGUUUACUUUGGAGGAAGCCAUCCUAGCAGUGAAUGGAAACACACAUAUGGGGAGAAACUAAGGCUCCCUACUAAAAACGUGCAACAUGUGACUGGGACAUCUUCUUCUGCGAACUCAGAUGUCAUCUUUUCUUCCCUAAAGGAAAUACGUUGUGAACUUCCCAGCACAUCUGUUAGAAAGGAGGUCCAGAAAAAGAGCACAAAGAGAAUGGUCUGUAUUUAAAGAUGUAACAGCUGAGAAAGCACAGUGUAAUUUUCAAGAAAAUGACUGUAGCCAUUCUGCUUGGGCUUACAUCUAUCAUUGCUAAUCACUGUCGGAAAAACUUUGGGCAAAUGACUUAACAUUUCUGUUCCUGUAUUUCUUCAUCUGUAAAAUAAGAAUAAAGGUUGUUACGAUGAUUAAAUGAGCUAAUA